CCUCCCGCCGGGCCCUGCCCCGAGCUGCUGUGCCUCACGAACCCCCUUUGCGCAGAGUCAGACUGCAAAAUAGCUCUGAAACCAUCGAGCCCAAGCUGUGGCCGCGCACCACCUGGUCACCCAGCCCACAGCGCUGAGCGUCGUUCCUUGAACGCCUCCAGGACCAAAAAGGACAAGGAUUUCCACAGAGACAAGAAAUGAUGGCUUUGGGCAGUGACUUGAGCUGUGGCAAACCACAUCCAAGUCUCCCUUGUGUAAUAUGCUUCCUUUAUUUUCUAACUGAACAACAGCUUCAACAUAGAGCCAAGAAAAGCAAGUGCAUUCCCAGAGGCUACCAGGCAGCAGAAAGCAGACAUGGGGCUGUGAUCUCAGGGAAAUUCUGCCCUUUUGAGAAACACAUGGAAAAAGUGCACCCAGUCAUUCCCCAGGAAACCUGGUCUCCCCUUUUGAUAAUUCAAAUCAGACAAGAACCUUGGGCAAUUGCUUCAAGAGCAGAGAGAAUAAUUUAAAAAAUCCUCCCUCAAGAGAAGCAUUGCAAGUGUCUGCUCUCAAUAAACAAGUUAUUCCAUAAAGCAAGCACUGGCACCUGCUCUUUUUCAGUAAGUCAGAAAAAAACACCAGCUUUCAGGAGGUGGCCUCUGCAUUUCAUCACACAAACUCCAUGGCUUCCAGUCAGUUAUUACAGACAAAGAUCAGAUCAAGACAGUCCAAACCUAUCUCCAAGAUCUGUUUAAGGGUUUAUAUUAACAGACUUGGAAACCAGCUUGCUUAAUCUGCAACCAAUCAUACAGACCAAGCUUCAGAGGAGAUAACAAUAAACACUGAUACACUGUUGUAGCUUCAAAAGAUUUAUUUUCAGUCCUUGAAGUAGACUGGUGCUGCUUUUGCUCAUAAUUUUUCUGUCCGUUACAGUUUUGGUUUUAACACAAACAGUAGUGAGAAUGUUUUUGUUGCUUUUUUUAAUUAUUUAAAAGUGCAGCCUUUGGCAGGAACAAUCAGCCUAGUAGAGUUAAUCAUCUGUAUUUCCUUUAAAAAAUGUACUUGCUAAACCAUGAUUUUAAAAAAGUUAAAAGCUGUCAAGAACA